AGAAUCAACGCUGGCGGCGUGCCUAACACAUGCAAGUCGCACGAGAAAGGGGACUUCGGUCCUUGAGUACAGUGGCGCACGGGUGAGUAACACGUGAAUUAUCUACCUUCGAGUGGGGAAUAACUGAGAGAAAUCUUAGCUAAUACCGCAUAAUACCUACGGGUCAAAGCAGCAAUGCGCUUGAAGAGGAGUUCGCGGCAGAUUAGUUAGUUGGCGGGUAAUGGCCCACCAAGACGAUGAUCUGUA
rnacentral:rRNA from 1 species